AUACCUUUCUCGGCCUUUUGGCUAAGAUCAAGUGUAGUAUCUGUUCUUAUCAGUUUAAUAUCUGAUACGUGGGCCUCUAAUAUUAAAUUAAUUUUUUUAGGGGGAGUGGCCCAUUACAGUAGCUUGCUACUGGGGUUAUUCAUGUGUCGUCCAAGUGUUACACUGCUGCUUGGGCCUGGCGCACCCCAC